CAAUGGGCGCAAGCCUGAUGCAGCCAUGCCGCGUGUGUGAAGAAGGCCUUAGGGUUGUAAAGCACUUUCAGUCAGGAGGAAAGGUUAGUAGUUAAUACCUGCUAGCUGUGACGUUACUGACAGAAGAAGCACCGGCUAACUCCGUGCCAGCAGCCGCGGUAAUACGGAGGGUGCGAGCGUUAAUCGGAAUUACUGGGCGUAAAGCGUACGCAGGCGGUUUGUUAAGCGAGAUGUGAAAGCCCCGGGCUUAACCUGGGAACUGCAUUUCGAACUGGCAAACUAGAGUGUGAUAGAGGGUGGUAGAAUUUCAGGUGUAGCGGUGAAAUGCGUAGAGAUCUGAAGGAAUACCGAUGGCGAAGGCAGCCACCUGGGUCAACACUGACGCUCAUGUACGAAAGCGUGGGGAGCAAACAGGAUUAGAUACCCUGGUAGUCCACGCCGUAAACGAUGUCUACUAGGGGGGGGGGUCUUCGGACAACUUUUCCAAAGCUAACGCAUUAAGUAGACCGCCUGGG
rnacentral:rRNA from 1 species